rnacentral:rRNA from 1 species
UUUCCGGUUGAUCCUGCCGGAGGCCACUGCUAUCGGGGUUCGAUUAAGCCAUGCGAGUCGAGAGGGUUUAGACCCUCGGCGGACUGCUCAGUAACACGUGGAUAACCUGCCCUAAGGUGGAGGAUAACCCCGGGAAACUGGGGAUAAUACUCCAUAGAUUAGAGAUACUGGAAUGUUCUUUAGUCAAAAGUUCUGGCGCCUUAGGAUGGAUCUGCGGUCGAUUAGGUUGUUGUUGGGGUAACGGCCCAACAAGCCUGUAAUCGAUACGGGUUGUGGGAGCAAUAGCCCGGAGAUGGAAUCUGAGACAAGAUUCCAGGCCCUACGGGGCGCAGCAGGCGCGAAAACUUUACAAUGCAGGAAACUGUGAUAAGGGAACCCCGAGUGCCCGUAUACGCGGGCUGUCCAGGUGUUUAAAAGUCAUCUGAAGAAAGGGCCGGGCAAGACCGGUGCCAGCCGCCGCGGUAAUACCGGCGGCUCGAGUGGUGGCCACUAUUAUUGGGCUUAAAGCGUCCGUAGCUGGACUGAUAAGUCUCUUGGGAAAUCCGCCGGCUCAACCGGCGGGCGUCUAAGGGAUACUGUUGGUCUAGGGACCGGGAGAGGUGAGAGGUACUCCGGGGGUAGGAGUGAAAUCCUGUAAUCCCCGGGGGACCACCGAUGGCGAAGGCAUCUCACCAGAACGGCUCCGACAGUGAGGGACGAAAGCUGGGGGAGCAAACCGGAUUAGAUACCCGGGUAGUCCCAGCCGUAAACUAUGCGCGUUAGGUGUGCUGGUGACCACGUGUCACCGGGGUGCCGAAGGGAAACCGUGAAACG